AUGGGUGGUGAUUAUGUUCCCAUAUUGGUCUUACUAUGUUUUUUGUUUAGACCUUGCUACCCCACCUUGCUUGAAUCAAUAGACAUGGAUGGAAAUCUACAGAAGAAUGAGAAGAACACCACUGUUUUAAGUCCUAAACGUUUUCAGUUUCCAUGGAGAGCUGAUUUCACGGAUGAGGGGAGUAAUAUUAUUUCUCAUUAUGCAAUGUGGCACACCAUGCCAGGACAAUUCUAUGGCCUUCGAGCUGAAAUGAGUAUAUGGGCUUCCCCAAAUAUUGAAAACUCUCAAGAAUCUGGAGCAUCCAUACAGAUCUAUUGUCAAGAUCGAGGACACUACAACUUAAUUCAAGCCGGCUUCCACAUUUCGCCCUCUUUGUACCAUAACAGAGAUAUCCGCUUCUUUACAUAUUGGACCAAGGACUCGAGAUCAAAGGGGUGCUACAACUUACAAUGCGGAGGAUUUAUUCCUGCGAGUGGAGCUAAGCUAGUGCCAGGACAAGCCAUUGCUCCUCCAUCAAUUUACGGCAUACAAGAUCACUACAUCAGGCUUAGCCUCAACAAGGAUCCAAAUUCUGGAGGUUGGGUGGUGUACCGUCAUGAUUUAGAAACACCGUCAUUCUUGGGACAUUUUCCAAAGGAGCUUUGCCCUGAAACACCACGUAUACAAGCAUUGACUGGAUUCGUGAAUUACUUAAAGAAUGCACGUGGUCCACCAAUGGGUAGUGGACACUUCCCUGAUUAUAAUGAGAAGAAAUCUGCCUACUUCAAUCACAUUAAGAAAUACAACUCAAAGGGUCAAGCUUUUGACCCCCGUUACACUGGGAUGGUCAAGUUAGUUGAUAGGAAAGAUUGUUAUGAUGCAAACGAUUUAUUUCUCGAAUUUAAGAAGGGUUAUACGUUCAACUAUGGUGGACCAGGUGGUUGUAUUGGUUGA
rnacentral:rRNA from 1 species